GAAAAUAUGACCUUGAUUCACAGCUCGGGUCACUUGCAUGACCAUCUACAAGACAACCAGUUAAAGAAAGUGGCAUGACAUACAGCCAAGUAUGGUGACCCAUACUCGGAAUUCGUGCUCUCCAUUUAACCCAUCCAAAGUGUCUCCACUUCAGUCUGGUUCCUCAGUUCUUUUGGCUCAUGACCUCUGUCUGACUUCUGAUCCUGCUGUGGCAUUCUUACUUACAAAGAUUUCCGGAUUGACUUUGUUAAUAAUAAUGUACGGUGUAGAAUGAAGAUAUCCUCAUCUCUUUCAUCUUUUUAGAUUUUAUUUUUAUCUUAUUUUUUUUAUUUCAUGUUCAAUGAAUCUUUGUCUCCUAUGUUGAUGCUUUUUAGAUUGAGGUCAGACAUUCUGCUGUAGUGCUAGUGCAUGUUCUGGACUCAAAGAAUCAACCGUUUCUUCACCAUUACCUGUUGCUCAUGAACCUCACGCUUAUCCCUUCUUCAUCUAUCAUUUCUGUGGAGGACACGGGGCCAGUGGACAAGUACAGUGUGGGAUUUCAUGUGACUGGCCUGACAGUGGGCGUGGUCAGUCUCCGCCUCUCAGCAGUGGAUGGACAUGGGUCUGUUAUAAGCUCCUCUCACAAGAAUAUGCAAGUUUACCCUCCAUUCAGUUUGCAGCCCUGUAAACUUACUCUGUCAGUUGGAAGCUUGCCACAGGUGAAACGGGAGGGAUUCAUCCUCAGUAUGUUGUCAGGUUCUCUGUGA
ensembl:lncRNA